GAACGAACGCUGGCGGCGUGCCUAACACAUGCAAGUCGAGCGAGAAAGUCCCGGCAACGGGAUGAGUACAGCGGCGAACGGGUGAGUAACGCGUGGGUAAUCUACCCUCCAGCUCGGGAUAACCUGCCGAAAGGUGGGCUAAUACCGGAUGAUGUUCCUGUGGGGAUCCUGCGGGAAGCAAAGGGGGCGAGCGUAAGCAGCUCUCACUGGAGGAGGAGCCUGCGUCCGAUUAGCUAGUUGGUGGGGUAA
rnacentral:rRNA from 1 species